rnacentral:rRNA from 1 species
UACGAGGGGGGGCGAGCGUUGUUCGGAAUUAUUGGGCGUAAAGGGUGCGUAGGCGGUUUGGUAAGUCUUAUGUGAAAUCUAUGGGCUCAACUCAUAGUCUGCAUGAGAAACUGCCGGGCUUGAGUGUGGGAGAGGUGAGUGGAAUUCCCAGUGUAGAGGUGAAAUUCGUAGAUAUUGGGAAGAACACCGGUGGCGAAGGCGGCUCACUGGCUCAUUACUGACGCUCAGGCGCGAUAGCGUGGGGAUCAAACAGG